rnacentral:misc_RNA from 1 species
GUGAAUCAUCGAAUUUUUGAACGCAAAUUGCACUCGCUUCGGAGAGUAUGGCUGUUUGAGGGUCAGCCUAAAAAAAAUCGACAUAGUUGCUGUUGCGCGGUGACAUUCGUCGGAAAUUGGGUCAUAUUAAACCUUUGGGUUUAAGCGGCUUAAAAUUUUCUUUACGUUUUAAAGAACGGUUCUAAGAUUUUAUUUUCUUAUACGUUUAAGGUACCGAUCUUUAUUGGUCGUGGCCGUUGAGUUGGAUAUUGGC